CAGGAGGGUCUCAUUACCCUCAUCAGAAGAUUGGUCUUUGUUCAAGAAAGAAAUGCAGGCAAAGCUGUGUGGGGAAAAGCCUUAUAAAAGCCUCUUUAGUUCAGUCACUAAAAUAUCCUCUUUGGAGGCAUUUGUGGACCCUUAUGUGUCAACUGUGGCCAGAAGAAAUAGCCUCAGGAACUGACUUGUCUGUUAUCUACCUUAAGUAAUCCUGUUAGUGUUACUUCUUCUUAAGGCUCAUUGUUGUGGUUCACCUUUCUUUGGGUGCAGUAUCCCACAGAGCUUCAAGCAAUUGCAGUACUAGAGAAUAACACACACACCAUCAUGUGACAAGUAGUUUUAAAGAUAACACGGCAACUUUUUCAGUGAGAUUCAGAGUAAAUAGACUGGAAACUGGAUUGGGGAGACAGGAAG